UGGAAUGAGGUUUCGGCCAAAGGAAAUGGUUGCUUAGUGGCGGACUGGUGAGUAACGCGUGAGGAACCUGCCUUUCAGAGGGGGACAACAGUUGGAAACGACUGCUAAUACCGCAUGACGCAUGACCGGGGCAUCCCGGACAUGCCAAAGAUUUAUCGCUGAAAGAUGGCCUCGCGUCCGAUUAGAUAGUUGGCGGGGUAACGGCCCACCAAGUCGACGAUCGGUAGCCGGACUGAGAGGUUGGCCGGCCACAUUGGGACUGAGAUACGGCCCAGACUCC
rnacentral:rRNA from 1 species